rnacentral:misc_RNA from 1 species
ACACCUCAACUCUCAUGGCUUGCCAUGAUGAGCUUGGACUUUGGGGGUCUUGCUGGCCUAUGGUUGGCUCCUCUCAAAUGAAUCAGCUUUCCAGUGUUUGGUGGCGUCACGGGUGUGAUAAAUAUCUACACUCGUGGUUUUCUGCCAGGUAACCUUCAGUAGAUGGAGGUUCGCUGGGGCUCAUAAACGUCUCUCCUCGGUGAGGACAGCUCUUUGAAC